UCCUACGUCGAAAAAAAAUACUUCAAAAAUAUUAACAUGAAGCGAGUUCUUCGAAACUCCGUAAAAACAGAUUACUUUCAUCCCAUUCUAUGAUACACUCAGAGAUAGAACUCGACAAAACUGUAUAAAAAACAGCAGGCAAACGCUGUAAUGGAUAGUCGACAUUUUCGCCAUUCCAACAAAGGACACGUCAUAUCAAUUAUUGCUCACGUCAUUAGUUUGUCGGUUCAUAAAAAAAUUACUUGUAAUUCAGACCAUCAUCGUGUGUACUACUAUUAUUGAUGGUGGUUGGGAAAUGUCCUACAAUGAAAGGUCAUGAAUAGACGACGCUGUUUGCCUGCUUGUAACAAUGGUUAUCGCGUCAGUUGCGUGAGGAAAGUAAACAUCAGAAACCUACCUCCUACCGGAUUCAGCCCGCCUAUCGACGGACGGUGCGCAUAAUCUAUGCUGUUUGGUAGUCAAGCAACAGUGGAAAACUGUGAAAAGCCAUUGAAGAAAAUUACGCUCUCUGAAAAACCCCUGAGAAAGGGUGAAAGUUUGGCGAGAGCCGUCUGCUUAUUUAUGGAAAAGCGCUGUUGCGUCACCACUUGAUAGGAUAUAUGAAACUAAAAUUUGCGUAGUGAUUUUCACGACCAGUCAAUAUCAGUGGCAAUUUUUAACGGUAUACUUUAUUUCCUGAGCAGUGCUCGCCUGCUGACGCCACUUGCCGGUAUGCUACUCACAGCGCAACCAUGACAAAACCAAUAGCGAGAGUUGAGCAACACUCUCGAAUCUACUCGCAGCGCGAGAGCAAAUCUCCCAUUGUUAUUAGUGCCACCGCGGCUGUCUGCUACUACUGGCGUGUGUCAGACGGUUUAGUGCUUAUAGUGUAUCCCGUUGACCCUCUCCCCUCCCCGGACGUUCAACCGAAAUAAAGCGAGCAGCCAGCUCUGCUCAACGGUGGUCUCUCCGGCUGCAACAGUCAACGCGACACUUUCGUUGGUUUCGGUCGAAUUUUUACCGAGCACUUUUGGGACCAAUCCCUUCGACGCAAGCCGACAGUUUUCGGUUUUUGUUUUUAAUAAGGGAAAAGCUAUAAGAGAGAAUUUUCCGGUGGUGUGUGCAACUUGCUUCUUUCAGAUCAGCUUCCUGCCCGGGCACCGAUUCCGUCAGUUUCAAAUCCCAGUGUAAAGUUUUUUAUUUCUUCUGCACAACUGAAACUGUCGCUGACGAUGUGACAUUUAAUUUAAAACUGUAACUGUUGCGCAGUAUCUAUGUAGAGCAAUUAGUUUUCCUGCUCGAGACCAGAACUGAAUUGGGUAGUAAAACUUGCCCGCAAAAUACAAUUGGUUGUAUAACGACCUAAUUCAAGCGGACCCCGGCAGCAAACGCGGAAGAGUGAAAGGUA